UACGGGGGGGGCAAGCGUUGUUCGGAAUUACUGGGCGUAAAGGGCGCGUAGGCGGCCUGCUAAGUCGGACGUGAAAUCCCUCGGCUCAACCGGGGAACUGCGCCCGAUACUGGUGGGCUCGAAUCCGGGAGAGGGAUGUGGAAUUCCAGGUGUAGCGGUGAAAUGCGUAGAGAUCCGGAGGAACCCCAGAGGCGAAGGCGGCGCCCUGGCUCGCAACUGACGCUCAGACACGACAGCAUGGGGAGCGAACGGG
rnacentral:rRNA from 1 species